rnacentral:rRNA from 1 species
UGGGGAAUAUUGCACAAUGGGCGAAAGCCUGAUGCAGCAACGCCGCGUGAGUGAUGAAGGUCUUCGGAUUGUAAAGCUCUGUCUUUUGGGACGAUAAUGACGGUACCAAAGGAGGAAGCCACGGCUAACUACGUGCCAGCAGCCGCGGUAAUACGUAGGUGGCGAGCGUUGUCCGGAUUUACUGGGCGUAAAGGGUGCGUAGGCGGAUGUUUAAGUGAGAUGUGAAAUACCCGGGCUUAACUUGGGUGCUGCAUUUCAAACUGGAUAUCUAGAGUGCAGGAGAGGAGAAUGGAAUUCCUAGUGUAGCGGUGAAAUGCGUAGAGAUUAGGAAGAACACCAGUGGCGAAGGCGAUUCUCUGGACUGUAACUGACGCUGAGGCACGAAAGCGUGGGUAGCAGACAGGAUUAGAUACCCUGGUAGUCCACGCCGUAAACGAUGAGUACUAGGUGUAGGAGGUAUCGACCCCUUCUGUGCCGCAGUAAACACAUUAAGUACUCCGCCUGGGAAGUACGAUCGCAAGAUUAAAAC